AGAGUUUGAUCAUGGCUCAGGAUGAACGCUGGCGGUAUGUUUAAGGCAUGCAAGUCUAAGGUGCUCUUCGGAGUGCCUGGCAAACGGGAGAGUAACACAUUGGUAACCUUCCCCUAACUCAAGUAUAACCUCGUGAAAACGUGGACAAUCCUUGAUAGUCCAUAAUUUAAAUGCAAAUUUAUUUUAUGGUAAAGAUUUAUCGGUUAGGGCUGGGCCUAUGGCUUAUCAGCUUGUUGGUGAGGUAAAAGCUUACCAAGGCUAUGACGAGUAGCGGGCGUGAGAGCGUGACCCGUCUCACUGGAACUGAGACACUGUCCAGACUCCUACGGGAGGCUGCAGUCAAGAAUCUUUCGCAAUGGCCGAAAGGCUGACGGAGCAAUACCGCGUGGAGGAAGACACCCCUCGGGGCGUAAACUUCUUUUCUAAAGGAUGAAUUCGUGACGUUACUUUAGGAAUAAGCAACUGCUAACUUCGUGCCAGCAGCAGCGGUAAUACGAAGGUUGCAAGCGUUAUCCGGAAUUAUUGGGCGUAAAGCGUCUGUAGGUGGUUUAUCAAGUUUCAAAUUAAAACUCUAAGCUCAACUUAGAGUUAGUUUGAAAAACUGACAAACUAGAGAAUGGGAGAGGU
rnacentral:rRNA from 1 species